AGGACGAACGCUGGCGGCGUGCGUAACACAUGCAAGUCGAACGAGUGUAGCAAUACACGAGUGGCGGACGGGUGAGGAACACGUGGCUACCAACCUGGCACUGGGGAAUACCCGUGAGAAAUCAUGGUUAAUACCGCAUACGCCCGCAAGGGGAAAGUCGCAAGACGGUGCGAGACGGGCUGCGCCCGAUUAGCUAGUUGGUGGGGUAAUGGCCUACCAAGGCGUCGAUCGGUAACUGGUCUGAGAGGAUGGCCAGUCACAUUUGGGAUUGAGAACGGCCCAAAUCCCUACGGGGAGCAGCAGUGAGGAUCUUCCACAAUGGGCGC
rnacentral:rRNA from 1 species